UACGUAGGGCGCGAGCGUUGUCCGGAAUUAUUGGGCGUAAAGAGCUCGUAGGCGGUCCGUCACGUCGGGUGUGAAAAUCCAGGGCUCAACCCUGGACCUGCAUCCGAUACGGGCGGACUAGAGUUCGGUAGGGGAGACUGGAAUUCCUGGUGUAGCGGUGAAAUGCGCAGAUAUCAGGAGGAACACCGGUGGCGAAGGCGGGUCUCUGGGCCACUACUGACGCUGAGAAGCGAAAGCAUGGGGAGCGAACAGG
rnacentral:rRNA from 1 species